GAGGGUUUGGGGGAGGUGGAGUGUGAGCAUGUCCUAUCCCUUUGACUGGACCCUAAACCUACUUUUUUAAAAAAAGAGAAGGAGAUCCAGAAAGAGACAGGGACCCACUUUAGGCAUUUCAGACUUCCCCCUGGAACCAAAUACCCCAUUGGCCUUCCUCGCUGUUACCAGGAGGGGAAUGGGUAGUUUGCACCCCACCCUCCCUCCAGGCUCUCCCGCCUUUGGGACAUUUUGGGUGCUACUUAGGAGAGCGAGAACUAUGGAGUGUGUGCGGCUCAGGGUGGGGCCACAGGUUGGGAGUGGGUAGGGCCUAUUGUCUUCCCGGGCACCAGUCCACAGCCACAGGCAGGCUUAGAGAAGGAGAGACAAAGGAGAAAAUGGAAGAGCACAAAGGCAGCAAGGAAUGAAAGGAUAACCCCUUCCACCCCUGACAACUCAUAAGCUGCUCCCCUUCUGACACCCAGUUCCAUGUGCAAAAUUCAAGUCUGUUUCAAGUUAACCCAGCAAAGGCACAAUUGAUUCAGAGCUAGAAGAGCCAUUGAGGAUAAUGCCAACGUUAGCCAAACUCUCCUAAAUCACAAAACAAAGGAAGAGGAUCCCGUCAACUUAUUUACACACGAAGAGGACUGUUCAUAAUCCUGCUGAAGAAGAUUAUGAGGGCAAAGUCUUGAGUAGGAAGGACGCUUAAAGGAGCCCCUCAGCCUUUACCGCUGAGCCGAGGAGAUGAGUCAGCUUGGUCCUGCAACUUCCCAGCGUGACCUGGACCUUGCAGCUCUGCAUUGGGGCCCACACUUGCCUCAUCAACCCCCAGCUGAAGAGUAUUUAUUCCACUUCCAGAGGAGCUUGCGUUGUUACCUGCCUGCCGCACCUGCAGCUCUGCGAAGCUGAAGCUGACCUGCCUUGGGCUUGGAGUCCUGCCUUGGGCUUGGAGUCCUGCCUUGGGCUUGGAGUCCUGCCCUGGGCCUGCACUGAGAACCAGGGCCAGGGGCUGGCCUGUUUCCUCAUUUUCUCUCCUUGGGGGACUCUCUUGUGUCCCUGCCCCUGCCCCAGACUUGACUGCAUUUCUCACUCUCCUUGUCACUGCCACCCCUUUUGUCUUUCUGGCCAUCUCAGCCCUGGGCCUCCUACCCUGCUCAGUCCUCCUGGGGACUACAGCCCAGGGUCAGAGAGAAGAACUGUUCAAGCGCAUCCCGGCAGCGGCCUCCAAGCCCAAGUUCAGGAGCCUUCCCAGGCAUGCCCUGGAAAGAAAACCAGGGCAGAAGGAAUGAGUUUCCCUAAAACCAUAUUUAGAUUCCCCAGUGCAGAGAUGAGUGAGAGGGUGGAAGACAGGACCAUGAACUGUUUCAGAUCCACUCUGAAUCCGAGGGUCAGAGUUUCCUACUGGGAAGAAGAAAAAAAAAAAAAAAUCCUCCCUGGUAAACAAUGGAAAAAGAAAAAAUUCUUCUACCCACAAAUAAAUUUCCUAGGGACGUUCUUGGCCAUGGAGAUUAAGUAUAUUAUUAUUUGUGACAAUAAUACACUUCAUAGAGUACUCUAAAAUAUUUUCACUGAUUUCAUUCUGCUCAUCAGCAUGACCUCAUUUGUCUAGAGUGAUGAGACAGGCAGAGAGGAGCUCUGUGUUCUAAAGGAGAGAACU